rnacentral:lncRNA from 1 species
AAUAAAAGAUUUUUGUACCUUAUGUUUUGGUGAGUUUGUUAAUAAAAGAUUUUUGUUGCUACUUAUAAAAAUAAAGGAUAUUGUUGGUAUUAUGAAAAGUCCACACCAAAACUCAUUUAUCCUUUUAUAUAUAGUAUAAAUUAAAACCAUAUUUUUGUUACACAAAAAAAAAAACAUAUUUUGUAAAUAAAACAUUAAACCCAUAUUUUUCCUAUGAUAGCUCAAACAUGCA